AAAAUAAGUGUUAAUUUAUUGGGCAGGACCCGUGACAGCCCCGUCCGGAACCCACGAGCGGCGCCGUCGCCCUCCCGCUCACCCCGAGGCGGCGGGGAAGAGUUAAAAAAUAGCGAAUCUGUGGGGUGUGAGAGGGCCCGGCACAGGGCAGGGGUGCUCUGCCCCAGCUCUCCAAGCGGAGAAGGGGCCCAGGCGCCGGAGACGGGGCAGCGGCCUCGGCAAGCUGGGAACAGGGACUGUAAACUCCCUACACAUCUAGAGGGGACAGGGGCUUCACAGUGACAAGCUGGGGGUGCUGGGGACACCAGGGACCCCCCUCCUGGCGGCCUGGGCCGGCCACGAGAGGCCCACCCGGCCCCGGUGCCAGCGUGGGAGUGCGGGGAAUCCAGCGGGAAGAGCCGGCCUGGAUCCUCCUCUUCCUCUGGAUCUUCUCCCCCGCUCCUCCUACACCACCGGGGCUGUGACCAUGGGAUGAGUGUGACCGUGGGAUGAGUGUGACCAUGGGAUGAGUGUGACCAUGGGAUCAGUGUGACCAUGGGAUGAGUGUGACCGUGGGAUGAGUGUGACCGUGGGAUGAGUGUGACCAUGGGAUGAGUGUGACCGUGGGAUGAGUGUGACCAUGGGAUGAGUGUGACCGUGGGAUGAGUGUGACUGUGGGAUGAGUGUGACCAUGGGAUGAGUGUGACCAUGGGAUCAGUGUGGCUGUGGGAUGAGUGUGACCAUGGGAUCAGUGUGGCUGUGGGAUGAGUGUGACCGUGGGAUCAGGGUGGCUGUGGGAUCAGUGUGACCAUGGUAUGAGUGUGGCCGUGGGGUGAGUGUGACCAUGGGAUCAGUGUGGCUGUGGGCUCAGUGUGGGCAAGGGAUCAGUGUGACCGUGGGAUCAGUGUGACCAUGGGAUCAGUGUGGCUGUGGGAUCAGAGGUGCCAUGGGAAUCAGUGUGGCCAUGGGCUCUGGUGGCCAUGGGCUCAGGUGGCCAUGGGACAAGAGUAGCCAUGGGAUCAGUGUGACCGUGGGAUCAGUGUGACCAUGGGAUCAGUGUGGCCAUGGGAUCAGUGUGGCCAUGGGCUCAGGUGGCCAUGGGACAAGAGUAGCCAUGGGAUCAGUGUGGCCAUGGGAUCAGUGUGGCCAUGGGCUCAGGUGGCCAUGGGACAAGAGUAGCCAUGGGAUCAGUGUGGCCAUGGGAUCAGUGUGGCCAUGGGCUCAGGUGGCCAUGGGACAAGAGUAGCCAUGGGAUCAGUGUGGCCAUGGGAUCACCACGGCCAUGGGAUUCACAUCUUUGAUGCCGAGGGAUCCCCCACCCCAUCCCGGCUUUUUCCGGGAUAAAUAAAUUAAGGAAGUGUCCGGGUGCAGGGC